GAUGAACGCUGGCGGCGUGCCUAAUACAUGCAAGUCGAGCGAACAGACGAGGAGCUUGCUCCUCUGACGUUAGCGGCGGACGGGUGAGUAACACGUGGAUAACCUACCUAUAAGACUGGGAUAACUUCGGGAAACCGGAGCUAAUACCGGAUGGGAGCUCCUGCUGCAUGGUGGGGGUUGGAAAGUUUCGGCGGUUGGGGAUGGACUCGCGGCUUAUCAGCUUGUUGGUGGGGUAGUGGCUUACCAAGGCUUUGACGGGUAGCCGGCCUGAGAGGGUGACCGGCCACAUUGGGACUGAGAUACGGCCCAGACUCCUACGGGAGGCAGCAGUGGGCAAUAUUGCACAAUGGGUGGAAGCCUGAUGCAGCAACGCCGUGUGCGGGAUGACGGCCUUCGGGUUGUAAACCGCUUUCGCUCAUGACGAAGCUUUGUGUGACGGUAGUGGGUAAAGAAGCACCGGCUAACUACGUG
rnacentral:rRNA from 1 species